rnacentral:ncRNA from 1 species
UAGGGUUGUUUCGGCCCUUUUUUAUUGUAAAUAUAAAGUUUACAUGCAAGGUUUUCCAGAUUUAAGCAUUUUUUUAAAAAAAAAAUGAAUUGAUUUUACACGCAGUAAAGAGUUUUAUUUAUUUAGGCGACUAAGAAAUAGUUAAGUAUAUUAGUAUAGACCAAGUUUGUGCCAGCAGUAGCGGUUACACUUACUAUGUAACAGUAAAUUUUCAGUUUUAGAUAGAAAGUAUAAUUAAAUUUUAAUUGAAUUUUUGUAGGUGAAAUUUUAAAAUUUAAAAAGAUUUAUUGUAUUGAUUUUAAUCUAAGAAAGUUUUUAUUUAAACUAGGAUUAGAUACCCUAUUAUUUAAAAUGUAGAUGUAAAGCUGGAUUAGUAUUAGAGAUGUUCUUGAAAAUUAAAAAAGUUGGCGGUUUUUUAGUCUAUUCAGAGGAACCUGUCCUGUAAUUGAUGGUCCACGAAAAUAUGUACCUGUUUUUUAAGUUUGCAUAUCGCUGUGGGUCGAAUUUGUUCAUAGAUUUAGGAAUGUUCAAGAUUUUUAUUUAAAAUAUAUCAGGUCAAGGUGUAGCUAAUAGGCAGGAAGAGAUGGGUUACAAUAAAUUUAUUUAGACGGAGAAAUGUUUUUAAAAUAUUUUGAAGGUGGAUUUGAGGGUAACUGUAAUGAUUUUAUUAUAGUGAUUAGAGCUCUAAAAUAUGCACAUAUCGCCCGUCGCUUUCAUGCAAUUUGAAAUAAGUCGUAACAGAGUAGAUGUACUGGAAAGUGUCUCUAGAAAGGC